rnacentral:rRNA from 1 species
UACGUAGGGGGCAAGCGUUGUCCGGAAUCAUUGGGCGUAAAGAGCGUGUAGGCGGCCCGGUAAGUCUGUUGUGAAAGUCCAGGGCUCAACCCUGGAAUGCCGAUGGAUACUGCCGGGCUAGAGUUCGGAAGAGGCGAGUGGAAUUCCUGGUGUAGCGGUGGAAUGCGCAGAUAUCAGGAGGAACACCUAUAGCGAAGGCAGCUCGCUGGGACGACACUGACGCUGAGACGCGAAAGCGUGGGGAGCGAACAG